rnacentral:rRNA from 1 species
GUGGGGAAUCUUAGACAAUGGGCGCAAGCCUGAUCUAGCCAUGCCGCGUGAGUGAUGAAGGCCCUAGGGUUGUAAAGCUCUUUCAGCUGGGAAGAUAAUGACGGUACCAGCAGAAGAAGCCCCGGCUAACUCCGUGCCAGCAGCCGCGGUAAUACGGAGGGGGCUAGCGUUGUUCGGAAUUACUGGGCGUAAAGUGCGCGUAGGCGGACUGAAAAGUUGGGGGUGAAAUCCCGGGGCUCAACCUCGGAACUGCCUUCAAAACUAUCAGUCUGGAGUUCGAGAGAGGUGAGUGGAAUUCCGAGUGUAGAGGUGAAAUUCGUAGAUAUUCGGAGGAACACCAGUGGCGAAGGCGGCUCACUGGCUCGAUACUGACGCUGAGGUGCGAAAGCGUGGGGAGCAAACAGGAUUAGAUACCCGGGUAGUCC